rnacentral:ncRNA from 2 species
ACUUUAGCGCUGAAUUUUGGUUCUAUUUGGAAAAUCCAAAUGAGAUUAAAAGGGAAUCAAGUGAAAAGAUCUUCGAUUGUAAAUCGAAAAUCUUCAUUCUUGAACUGUUCCCGCAACUGUAAGCUAUAAAGCUUGUUAUUACCUUCAGUCACUGGAUGUUUAUCUGGGAAGACCAAUAACAAGACGCAAGUCAGGAGACCUGCCUUAAUUCAUAAUCAAAA